rnacentral:lncRNA from 1 species
GCUUGCAGUGAGUUGAGAUCCGGCCACUGCACUCCAGCCUGGGCGACAGAGCGAGACUCCGUCUCAAAAAAGAAAAAAAUUAAAAAAAGAAAAAAAAGAAAGAAAUCUUUAGGAGUAUGACUCUGCCCCUUGGUCUUUGUAGUCAGAUGUCAUCUACCAGAGUGUGUUCGAGCUGAUCCACAAGGAGGACAGAGCCAUGUUCCAGAGCCAGUUACGCUGGCCUCCAGACACAGCAUCAGUCAGCAGAGAAGCAGAUCCGGACACCAGCCCUCUGCCUGGAGAGAGUUCCCUCCCACUUAGUGGCACUCCUCCUGCCAGCGUUCAGCAUCUGCCCUUGGAAGACCCUUCCUACCUGGAGAGAAGCUUUGUCUGUCGGUUCCGCUGCCUGCUGGACAAUUCUUCUGGGUUUCUGGAAUUUAAUUUCCAGGGCCAUCUCAAAUUCCUCCCUGGGCAGAACACUAAGUCAGAAGACGGCACCUUCCUGUCUCCUCACCUUACCCUGUUUGCCACUGCAACACCUCGUCAGCCUCUCACCAUCCUGGAGCUCCAAAACAAAACAUUUAUUUUCCAAACAAAACAAAAAUUGGAUUUCACACCUAUAGCCUGUGAUUCCAGAGGGAAGGUGAUUCUGGGCUACACCGACAGCGAGCUCUGCAGGAGGGGA